GCAUCAGAGACUCCAAUUGCAUCUAAUUUCCACAAGUUUUCUAAAUCCAAAGAUAAAAAUGUGGACACGCAAAGGGAGCUGGUGU